GGGCGAAAGCCUGAUCCAGCAAUGCCGCGUGGAUGAAGAAGGUCUUCGGAUUGUAAAGUCCUUUUGGCGGGGACGAUGAUGACGGUACCCGCAGAAUAAGCUCCGGCUAACUUCGUGCCAGCAGCCGCGGUAAUACGAAGGGGGCUAGCGUUGCUCGGAAUGACUGGGCGUAAAGGGCGCGUAGGCGGACGGCACAGUCAGGCGUGAAAUUCCUGGGCUCAACCUGGGGACUGCGUCUGAGACGUGUUGUCUUGAGUAUGGAAGAGGGUUGUGGAAUUUCCAGUGUAGAGGUGAAAUUCGUAGAUAUUGGAAAGAACACCGGUGGCGAAGGCGGCAACCUGGUCCAUUACUGACGCUGAGGCGCGAAAGCGUGGGGAGCAAACAGGAUUAGAUACCCUGGUAGUCCACGCUGUAAACGAUGUGUGCUGGAUGUUGGGGUGCUUAGCACUUCAGUGUCGUAGCUAACGCGGUAAGCACACCGCCUGGGGAGUACGGCCGCAAGGUUGAAACUCAAA
rnacentral:rRNA from 1 species